rnacentral:rRNA from 1 species
CCUACGGGUGGCAGCAGUGAGGAAUAUUGGUCAAUGGCCGAGAGGCUGAACCAGCCAAGUCGCGUGAGGGAAGACGGCCCUACGGGUUGUAAACCUCUUUUGUCGGGGAGCAAAGCGAACCACGUGUGGUUCAUUGAGAGUACCCGAAGAAAAAGCAUCGGCUAACUCCGUGCCAGCAGCCGCGGUAAUACGGAGGAUGCGAGCGUUAUCCGGAAUCAUUGGGCGUAAAGAGUUCGUAGGCGGUAUGUUAAGUCUGGUGUUAAAUGCAGAAGCUCAACUUCUGUUCGGCACUGGAUACUGGCAAACUAGAAUGCGGUAGAGGUAAAGGGAAUUCCUGGUGUAGCGGUGAAAUGCUUAGAUAUCAGGAGGAACAUCGGUGGCGUAAGCGCUUUACUGGGCCGUAAUUGACGCUGAGGAACGAAAGCCAGGGUAGCAAAUGGGAUUAGAUACCCGGGUAGUC